AGGAGUCAGCGGGCUUCGAUCCCACACCACACUAGUUAACAGCUAGCGCGCCCAACCAAUAGCAUCAACUCC
rnacentral:tRNA from 1 species